UACGGGGGGGGCAAGCGUUGUUCGGAAUUACUGGGCGUAAAGGGCUUGUAGGUGGCCAACUAAGUCAGACGUGAAAUCCCUCGGCUUAACCGGGGAACUGCGUCUGAUACUGGAUGGCUGGAGUGUGGGAGAGGGAUGCGGAAUUCCAGGUGUAGCGGUGAAAUGCGUAGAUAUCUGGAGGAACACCGGUGGCGAAGGCGGCAUCCUGGACCGACACUGACACUGAGGAGCGAAAGCCAGGGGAGCAAACGGG
rnacentral:rRNA from 1 species